AUUCCUUUGGUCUUGGGACUUUCUAUUCCGUCUUCACUGGGCUGCACACUGCAAGUCACAAGAGCCAGGACACCUACUCACCUAAUAAGUGGUAAUUAGCUGGUAAUUUCUUUUUCCUGAAGGGAAAUUUAGGAAAAGGCUGUGGAAAUGUAAAUCCUGUUCUCUGAAAUAUUUUUCCUCCUCUGUUUAAUCUUCCUCUAUAAUUUCAAAAAUAUAGCUGAUACAUCACUGUAUUGGCCAAAAUAUAAAACUUAUUUGGAAACCGAAUCGGUCAUUUUACACAAGGAUAAAGAAACAAAAUCCCACUUUCAUCACAUUUCUGAUUUUGAGUUUAAUUCCUCACUGCCAACCUGGAAAUAGUUACAAUAACGUUACAAAGUGCCUCUUAACAGUAACAUAGAAUACUACUUCCUUGUAUAAAGGCUCUUAAAUUCCCAGUGGAUAUCUAAGCAAGACAAUCGCUUAAAAAAAAAAAAGAGUGAGGGUUUGUUUGGUUUGAUUUGGUUUGGUUUUCCCACGUCGAAUAGUCACAUUCAUUGUAACCCUGAAUUAGGCAUGUGGGGGUAAAGGAAGAUUUCAGUAUUGUCUUUAUUGGAAUCAGAAGAUUGAAAUAUCUAAUCCCGUUUACGUAAAAGGUGUCUUGGUAUAUUUUAACUAACUUUGCGAAACGAAUCGCAAUGACUCAAACCAGAGCGAAAAAAGGGAAGUGAUUUCCCUUAAAACCAGGUGUUGAGCGCCUUGAUGACCCAAUACGGGGUGCGCGCGCGCAGAGUGACCAGACCCCUCUCCACGCAGCUCUGACAGAGCUCUCCAAUUCGGCAAGAGCAUCCGCAGCAGUAAUACCACCAGUACACCGUUUCCGACGAUGGGCUGGGGGGAUGACACUCUGCAGCGCCACCAGCACUGUUUUCUCUCCUAAGUCAGUCAUUCAACCGCGCAAGCAGGUCGCCCUCUGCGCGCUACAACCUGCGGGGCGGGGAGCCUCGGCGCUCACCCCUGGAACUCCGCUGGUGCUGACGUACCUUCAGGCCCUUAAAUGUGUCUGUCCCUGCGCAGGAAGGAACAGACUUUGUAGCAGUCACUUUGCCCGAAGGGAAUCGCUUCUCAGUUCUUGCAGCCUCAGCUCCGUUUCCCCUCGCUCUUCCUGGAUCUGCGUUUAUCUCUGUCCUUUUUGCACUGAGUCCCCGCCAACCUCUCCAGCGGGAGGAGCAUUUGGCAGUUUGCACCCUAGGAGAGAACCAACUGGGCUUUUCAUGCCCUGUGCUUUUCCGGUGGACUCGAAGACCAGAGAGAUUAAGAGUCGAGAGAAGCGUUUGGCACGAGCACUCUGCGGGACCCAAGCUCCCGGCUGCUCGCGAUCCGUGUGUCCGCUGCUGGCUGCUGCGGGAGGAGCAGAAGGAGCGGAGGGGAGGAAGCCAGCGGAUGCUUGCUGGAGCCUGGAGGUAGGCAAGGGGGUGGGAUCCUGAUUGCAGCGCUCAGCCCAGAUUCCAAAAGGGUGUCUGGUUUCAUAGAGCUGAGGUAUUCUCCCCCCUUCAUUUCCUAUCGCACCCUCCCCUUUUUGGAUUCAGGCUCAAGAACAACCAGAUUCACAGCCCUCAAGGUGGACUGCCAUCAGCCACUCAUUGCCUAAAUGGCUUGCUCUCUUCAUUUGAUUGUGUAGCUUCUCCAGGAAGUUGAUAGCUUGCAGAUUUAGAGAUGGUCCAACUUGAUUUUAUUCGGUUUCUUAAAGGGUGUGUUUCCUG
rnacentral:lncRNA from 9 species